UACGGAGGGUGCAAGCGUUAUCCGGAUUCACUGGGUUUAAAGGGUGUGUAGGCGGAUAUUUAAGUCAGUGGUGAAAUCUCCAGGCUCAACCUGGAAACUGCCAUUGAUACUAUUUAUCUUGAAUUCUGUUGAGGUGGGCGGAAUACAUCAUGUAGCGGUGAAAUGCUUAGAUAUGAUGUAGAACACCGAUUGCGAAGGCAGCUCACUAAGCAGACAUUGACGCUGAGGCACGAAAGCGUGGGGAUCGAACAGG
rnacentral:rRNA from 1 species